rnacentral:rRNA from 1 species
GACGAACCGUGCGAACGUUAUUCGGAAUCACUGGGCUUAAAAGCGCGUGUAGGCGGGUCGCACGUCGGUCGCUGAAAUCCCCCGGCUCAACCGGGGAAGGGGCGCCGAUACGGCCGGCCUGGAGGGACGUAGGGGGGGCUGGAACUUCCGGUGGAGCGGUGAAAUGCGUUGAGAUCGGAAGGAACGCCCGUGGCGAAAGCGAGCCCCUGGACGUCUACUGACGCUGAGACGCGAAAGCCAGGGGGAGCGAACGGG